rnacentral:misc_RNA from 1 species
AACGCACAUUGCGCCCCUUGGUAUUCCUCGGGGCACGCCUGUUCGAGCGCCGUUUUAAAUCUAAGGCGCUGCCUUGCGUUGGACGCCAUCCGCUCAGCGGAUGCGUUGAAACUCCUUCGAGCGCCUUCCUCGAGCCCUGGCAGCGUAGCAAAGUUACCGCUGUUGGAGUUCUAGCGAAGGCCGCCGGUUUUCACGAGUUUGGCCUCGAAUCAGGCGGGGAUACCCGCUGAACUUAA